UAUGUUAUUUAACUUUUAAAAUAUUCUAAUUGAUCGUCGUUAUCAGUAAUUAUUUUCGUCCGCCAAUGUAUCGCGUGAUUUUUAUAUUCAAUUAUAUACGUGCUUGUCACAGUGGAAGGAUCGCGAUUGCAGAAGGAUACUUUCCAAUAUACUCUUAGGAGUUUCGCGAAGGAUAAAUAAUUUUGAGUUCCUUUCCCGAAGGCAGGAACGAUUCAGUGCUCCUUUUUUUUCUCGAUACGUUAUAGUUGGUAUUUAAACUUUUUCCUUCUAGUUCAUGACUACAGGUCCCCGUGAUGUUUGCGAAUCGUUGCGAGAUCAGCAAACGACGCGACAACGACGUGUCGCUGUUGGCGAAGAAAAGAAAAAAGAAAAAGAGAAAACGAGGCGGAGAAUGAAAAAGAAGAAAAAGUUACAAGAGAAUGGUAGAAAAUCGACGAGAAAUCGUAAGAGAAAAUUCUAAGAAAAAAAAAAAAGGAAUCCAAGCGAGGAAGCUAGGUAGCCGAAACGUAUUGGGCAUUAGGAGAGUGUGAGAAGAAGAGGGGUUGAAAAAGAAACCAUCCAAAAUAAAAAGAGGGGUAGGAAAAAUCGAAGAUGUCGGACAAGUACCCAAGGCUGGCAAGAAGCAGACGACUGAUCGUUCCAGAAGGUUUGGCGUCUGUCGACGCAGCGUUACAAUCGACUGGCCCAAUUUUUGGGCCCAUCGAUCGGUCUUGAAUAAUUGAUGCCUUUUUUUUCUUAUCUCGAUACUGCAAAAGUUUUGCAUGAAUGAGGCGCGAUAAGGUGCCUAUAUAGGUAUAGUCAGUAUGUCGGCGAAGGGAAGGGUGGAUUGAUACGUCAGCAAUUUUCCUAUUAUUGUCGUGGAUCAUGGCUAUGGUAUACCCUCCUGCCUCCCCCCCGGUCCUAAAUCGACCAGGAAGGGAUUGUCGGAUUAGAGGCUUUCGCAAAAAAAAAGGAAAACGACAAGGCGCGCCUUUUGAAGAUGGAAUAACUUGAUUGAUUAGGGGAAAAAGUCACGAAAGCGUCGGGGCUCUUCUGGGGUCUGGUGUAUUACCGAUAUCAUCGAGGCAUAAUGUACGAAAAAUAUAUUUUGCCGAUGGAACAAGGUCAUUUUUUUGUGUCUUACGGAAAGACUUCAUUUUUUGAUAAUCCUGAUAUCACGUGAAAGGAAAAACAUGUAUAGGACUGGAGAGUUACGAAUCCGUAACUUUCUACGGCCAAGAAGUCUUCUUGGCGGAAGUGUCGCCGUGGUACGGAAAAGUAAGAAAGCGAAUGUUGUCAGAUACGGUUACACUGAUGCUCAGGGAACUACCUAACCUCCUUAGCCAGCGAUCCACCUGUCCAGAAGUGGAUCUUCGAGGACCUAUUGAGCUCGACAGCUAAACGGAAGGAACUUACUGGAAGGAUGCUUUUGCGUCUGCGCCCAGUGUCAAGGAUGCUUCCAAUUAUGGCCACUUGAUUCUAUUGUUAUCUUAUCAGACGUUAUUGUUCUAAGAACUUUAAGAUCGUGUACGA